rnacentral:misc_RNA from 1 species
CUUCUGAUGAAUAAAACUGCAGAAGUAUUUAGCAUAGCGGCAUCAAUUCACAAAAGGUUAUACUGACAGAGAACUUGAUAAUUAGAAGCAUAAACACUCAUUUGCAGUAAACAUCCACUUGCAACCAUAGAGUUAUUUCGCCGACAAGUACUAAAGUAGUAGGUUUAAAUUCCUCAAACGAACAAAUCAAGUAAUUCAUCCACAGUGCUGUAUUUGACAUCUGGAUAUAGCUCAGAAGCCUCAACACCCCAUGAUGGCUCAAUCUCAAAGUUUGUCUGAUCUCCCU